rnacentral:rRNA from 1 species
UACGGAGGGUGCGAGCGUUGUUCGGAAUCACUGGGCGUAAAGCGCGUGUAGGCGGCCCACUAAGUCUGAUGUGAAAGCCCGGGGCUCACCCCCCGGAAGUGCAUUGGAAACUGGUGGACUCGAGUCCCGGAGAGGAGAGUGGAAUUCCGUGGUGUAGCGGGUGAAAUGCGUAGAUAUCGAGGAGGAACACCGGUGGCGAAGGCGG